rnacentral:rRNA from 1 species
CCUACGGGAGGCAGCAGUGGGGAAUAUUGCGCAAUGGGCGAAAGCCUGACGCAGCAACGCCGCGUGGGGGAUGAAGGCCUUCGGGUUGUAAACCUCUUUCAGCAGGGAAGAAGCGAAAGUGACGGUACCUGCAGAAGAAGCACCGGCUAACUACGUGCCAGCAGCCGCGGUAAUACGUAGGGUGCAAGCGUUGUCCGGAUUUAUUGGGCGUAAAGAGCUCGUAGGCGGUUAGUCACGUCGGAUGUGAAAUCCCGGAGCUUAACUCCGGGCCUGCAUUCGAUACGGGCUGACUCGAGUGUUGUAGGGGAGACUGGAACUCCUGGUGUAGCGGUGAAAUGCGCAGAUAUCAGGAAGAACACCGGUGGCGAAGGCGGGUCUCUGGGCAACUACUGACGCUGAGGAGCGAAAGCGUGGGGAGGCAAACAGGAUUAAGAUACCCUGGUAGUCCACGCCGUAAACGGUGGGCGCUAGGUGUGGGGAACAUUCCACGUUCUCUGCGCCGCAGCUAACGCAUUAAGCGCCCCGCCUGGGGAGUACGGCCGCAAGGCGAAAACUCAAAAUGAAAUUGACGG